CUGCUGCCUUCCGUAGGAGUUUGGACCGUGUCUCAGUUCCAAUGUGGGGGACCUUCCUCUCAGAACCCCUACUGAUCGUCGCCCCGGUGGGCCGUUACCCCGCCGGCAAGCUAAUCAGACGCAUCCCCAUCCUUUACCGGCCGAAGCCUUUGGUCAUGAAAAUAUGCAUCAACAUGACAACAUACGGUAUUAAUCCGCCUUUCGACGGGCUGUCCCCAUAGUAAAGGGCAGGUUGGAUACGCGUUACUCACCCGUGCGCCGGUCGCCA
rnacentral:rRNA from 1 species